UACAGAGAGGGCAAGCGUUGUCCGGAAUGACUGGGCGUAAAGCGCGCGCAGGCGGUCUUUUAAGUUGGGUGUGAAAUCCCCGGGCUCAACCUGGGAACUGCAUUCGAUACUGGAAGACUAGAGGCCGGGAGAGGAAAGCGGAAUGACGAGUGUAGAGGUGAAAUUCGUAGAUAUUCGUCGGAACACCAGAGGCGAAGGCGGCUUUCUGGCUCGGACCUGACGCUCAGGCGCGAAAGCGUGGGGAGCAAACAGG
rnacentral:rRNA from 1 species